CCUACGGGAGGCAGCAGUGGGGAAUAUUGCGCAAUGGGCGAAAGCCUGACGCAGCGACGCCGCGUGAGGGAUGAAGGUCUUCGGAUCGUAAACCUCUGUCAGCAGGGAAGAACGGUCACUGUCCUAAUCAGCAGUGAAUUGACUGUACCUGCAAAGGAAGCACCGGCUAACUCCGUGCGAGCAGCCGCGGUGAUACGGAGGGUGCAAGCGUUAAUCGGAAUGACUUGGCGUAAAGCGCGCGUAGGCGGUAUGUCAAGUCAAGGGUGAAAUCCCCGGGCUCAACGUGGGAACUGCCUUUGAAACUGGCAAACUGGAGUGUGGGAGAGGAAAGUGGAAUUCCAGGUGUAGGAGUGAAAUCCGUAGAUAUCAGGAGGAACAUCAGUGGCGAAGGCGACUAUCUGGCACAUAACUGACGCUGAGGAGCGAAAGCGUGGGUAGCAAACAGGAUUAGAUACCCGGGUAGUC
rnacentral:rRNA from 1 species